AUUGAACGCUGGCGGCAGGCCUAACACAUGCAAGUCGAGCGGAGCGGCGGACGGGUGCGUAAUGCCUAGGAAUCUGCCUGGUAGUGGGGGAUAACGUCCGGAAACGGGCGCUAAUACCGCAUACUAUCAGAUGAGCCUAGGUCGGAUUAGCUAGUUGGUGGGGUAAAGGCCUACCAAGGCGCCGAUCGGGACCUGGUCUGAGAGGAUGGUCAGUCACACUGGAACUGGGACACGGCCAAGACUCCUACGGAAGGAGGAAGUGGGGAAUAUUGGACAAUGGGGGAAAGCCUGCUACAGCCAUGCCGCGUAUGUAAAAAAGGUCUUGGGGUUGUAAAGCCCGUUCAGAGGGGAGGCGUUACUUACAGAAUAAGCAACGGCUAACUACGUGCCAGCAGCCGCGGUAAUUC
rnacentral:rRNA from 1 species